rnacentral:rRNA from 1 species
GGACGAGGAUAAUCUCGGGAAACUGAGCAUAAUACUCGAUAGAUCAUAAUGCCUGGAAUGGUUUAUGGUUGAAAUGAUUCGUCGCCAUAGGAUGGGACUGCGGCCUAUCAGCUUGUUGGUGAGGUAAUGGCCCACCAAGGCGAUUACAGGUACGGGCUCUGAGAGGAGAAGCCCGGAGAUGGGUACUGAGACAAGGACCCAGGCCCUAUGGGGCGCAGCAGGCGAGAAAACUUUGCAAUGUGCGAAAGCACGACAAGGUUAAUCCGAGUGAUUUCUGCUAAAGAAAUCUUUUGCAAGUCAUAAAACCACUAGUGAAUAAGGGGUGGGCAAGUUCUGGUGUCAGCCGCCGCGGUAAAACCAGCACCUCAAGUGGUCAGGAGGAUUAUUGGGCCUAAAGCAUCCGUAGCCGGCUCUGUAAGUUUUCGGUUAAAUCCAUGUGCUCAACGCAUGGGCUGCCGAAAAUACUGCAUAGCUAGGGAGUGGGAGAGGUAGACGGUACUCGGUAGGAAGGGGUAAAAUCCUUUGAUCUAUCGAUGACCACCUGUGGCGAAGGCGGUCUACCAGAACACGUUCGACGGUGAGGGAUGAAAGCUGGGGGAGCAAACCGGAUUAGAUACCCGGGUAGUCCCAGCUGUAAACGAUGCAGACUAGAUGAUGCAUUAGCAUAUAGCUAGUGCAGUGUCUCAGGGAAGCCGUUAAGUCUGCCGCCUGGGAAGUACGUACGCAAGUAUGAAACUUAAA